CUAUUGUUUGGGAUUGUGGGCAUCGGAUUCGCUAUAGAUUUGGUUUAGCUUGGGCUUUGAGUGUUUCCGUUGGGUUUUUCGUCGAGUUUCGGUUCAAAGUUCCGUUUAAGGUCCAUUUCUAAGGAAAAAAAAAAGAGGAGUCAAUGAAGAUGACAUGCAUUAUGACCAAUGACAAGAUUUGGACAUCAAUUCAGGCUUUCAGAUAGUUAGUUAUAAGAUUACGGAGUUCCAAGAAAAGACAACAAUGAUCUUCAUAUUCAGGAAAUGACCGAUUUUGAGCAUGUUUUGAGUUGGUAUUUUCAAGAAUUGAUAUGACGAAGGCAUUUCAUUCGUUAUCCUUUUGAGCCUUAGUUUUGUUUUCUUUCAUACCCCUCUUUUGGAAUCAAAAUAGAGUCAGAAAAGUGUCAAAAAAAAAAAAAAAUAAGAGAGAGAAAAAAAACCACAACAAAAUAUAAUUUCCUGAACUACGUUCGACCUGAUUCUUGUUUCGGCAGGAUACGUAGGCAGCCUUGCUUUAGGGCUCGGUCCAACUAAAUAAAAAGUCAACAUUCCCGUUUCAAAGAAACUGGGACAGAAGUUAUUUUUCUUUUUGACUCGUUUCCAAAAGUUGUAAGUCAGAACCCUAAUCUUUUAGCAUUGUCCAUGAGUUAUGCAGUCCUUUCAUUUCAUUCCCUGUCCAAAAGUCUUCAUUACAAUCCAAAUAAAAGACCUUCUGAUCAAGUAUUGAAAAUGCCAAGUCGAGCGUCUUAGUGAACUUAGCUAGUCUCGUGGAAACCAUCAAUGGUAGAAGCGGAAGUCUUUUUGAAGAAAUUGUGAGUAAUCAUGAAUGAGAGAAAAGAAUAAAAUGAGAGAGGUUUGUUGGUGAAAACCUUUCGAGGCACCGCAAAUUGAAAUUGUGAGACAUGAGAGAAGAGAAUAAAAAUGAGAGAGACUUGUUGGUGAAAACCUUUCGAGGCACCACAAGUCGAAAUGUGAGCUAUGUUUACAACAGAAUGUUCAUCAUGAAUAGUAUACAACGUCAGUGCUACUUCAAGCGAGACAAAGCAAGCUCUCCAACACUAGACAAAGACUUGAUGAAUCAGCAAGUCUGAAGAGAAGACGAGCGAGAAAGAAUUUUCAAAUUUUGCCAUCAAAAAUUCAGAAAGGGAAUGAUUAGUUGGGCAAUUCGAGUGAAAGGAAAAGAUUAGUUUGGAAACUCAUUGGGAAAGAAACAGUUAAUUUGGAAACUCAAUUGAAAGGAAAUGACUAGCUUGACAACUCAUCCGGAAAGGAAAGGAUCAUUUUGGCUGCUCAAAUGAAAGAAAAAGACCGACUUGAUAAUUCACAACAGAUGAAAGGGUCAGGACAGAUUGUUGAAAUCUCCUUAGAGCAAAUCAACUUUUGAACCUUCCCUGAUCGCAGUACCGAAAUAUUCCUCUAACCCAACCAAAAUGAUCAAGCUCAAUGUUGAACUGCGAAAUUGUCACAAGUCAUCAAUUUUUAAAAUUCACAAUUUCUUUUGUUUGAAGCAGGGGAAAUUCGCUGAAAUUUUACAUGUAUUUUAGACUCAUGUACACCAAAAUGUUUUGUUUUAGGUUGACUACCACCGAAUAUAGUCAUGCUUUUAGGUUGACUACCUCCAAACGCAGUCAUGUUUUUAAGUUUCAGGUCGACUACCUCCGAAUAUAGUUAUGUUUUCAGGUUGACUACCUCCGAAUAAAGUCAUGUUUAUGAAUUUUAGGUUGACUACCUCCGAAUAAAGUUAUGUUUAUGAAUUUUAGGUUGACUACCUCCGAAUAAAGUUAUGUUUUAAUUUUAGGUUGACUACCUCCGAAUAAAGUCACGUUUCUAAUUCCAGGUUGACUAUCUCCGAAUAUAGUCAUGCUUUUAGGUUGACUACCCCCGAAUAUAGUCAUGUUUUCAAGUUGAUUACCUCCAAAUAUAGUCACGUUUUUAGGUUGACUACCUCCGAAUAAAGUCAUGUUUAUAAAUUUUAGGUUGACUACCUCCGAAUAAAGUUAUGUUUAUGAAUUUUAGGUUGACUAACUCCGAAUAAAGUCAUGUUUUAAUUUUAGGUUGACUAUCUCCGAAUAAAGUCACGUUUCUAAUUCCAGGUUGACUACCUCUGAAUAUAGUCAUGCUUUUAGGUUGAUUACCUCCAAAUGCAGUCAUGUUUUUAAAUUUUAGGUUGACUACCUCCGAAUAUAGUCAUGUUUUUGGGUUGACUACCUCCGAAUAUAGUCAUGUUUUCAGGUUGACUACCUCCGAAUAAAGUCAUGUUUAUGAAUUUUAGGUUGACUACCUCCGAAUAAGGUCAUGCUCCUAAUUUGACUACUUCCAAAUACAGUCAUGUUUUUAGUUAACUACCUCCCAAUAUGAUCACAAAUAGUUUAUGAUUUUUCUAACACUAAAAAAAAAUUUCGGUGCAAACUGGGAUAGGAAAUUUUGUUCAUGUUAUUUGUUUUAAUAUCAAAUCAGGACCCUCCUGGAUAAUGAUAUUUACCUUUACUCCUAGGAGACUCACUUCCUAGUCGAGUCUUUCAGUUUAACCCCUAAGAGACGCACUUCUUAGUCUGGGUCUUCCUGGUUUUUGACUUUAGGAGACACACUUCCUAAUUCAAACCUUUACUCCUAGGAGACGCACUUCCUAGUCGAGUCUUUCAGUUUAACCCCUAAGAGACGCACUUCUUAGUCAGGGUCUUUCAGGUUUUGCUUUUAGGAGACGCACUUCCUAAUUCGAACCUUUACUCCUAGGAGACGCACUUCCUAGUCGAGUCUUUCGGUUUAACCCCUAAGAGACGCACUUCUUAGUUAGGGUCUUUCAGGUUUUGCUUUUAGGAGACGCACUUCCUAAUUCGAACCUUACUCCUAGGAGACCCCCUUCCUAGUCAAAGUAUUUCAGUUUGACCCCUAAGAGACGCACUUCUUAGUCUGAGUCUUUCACGUUUAGCUUUUAGAAGACACACUUCCUAGUUUGAUUCAUUAUUCCUAGGAGACGCACUUCCUAGUUUGAGUUUUCAGAUUCACCCCUCGGAGACGCACUUCCUAGUUAGUACAUUUGAUUUUACUUUUAUCUUUGAAUUACAUUACAUAUAGUUUAUGAUUUUGCUAACACUCACCAAAAAAAAAUUCCUGAUGCAAACUGGGACAGAAAAAUUUUGUUCGUGUUGUUUGUCUUUGAUGAUUUACAGGACCCGCCUGAAGAAUGGGAAAGCAAAUCAUGACCCGCCUAGAGAAUGGGAGCAAGUUCAAGUAGCAUAAUCUGCCAAGACAUCAGGAACCCGCCUGGAGAAUAGGGACAAUUUUCAAUUUUAAGCUCAGGAGCCCGCCUGAAGAAUAGGAUGUACUUUCAAUUGGUUUCAAGUUCAGUCAGAAGUAGCAGGAGCCCUGCCUGGAAAAUAGGGAUGACUUUAAAUUUUAAGUUCAGAAACAGGAAUGAAGGUUCAAGUCAAGGUUCAAGAGAAGCUGCAUAGAUAGGGUCUUGUACUUGUAUUUUCUUUUUAACUUUUAUUUUUCAUUUUGAUGUAAUAACAGGAGCCGCGGACCGGAACCUCGACAGGACCUCACUCGACUCUCCAGCUCA